AGUGCGCAGGCGCCUCAGCGGGACCGAACGCGGGAUGGCUGCGCAUGCGCCUCCUGGAGGCGGAGCGCAUGGGGAAUGCGCAGGCGCCUUGAGACUCAACUCUUGGUCCCUUGGGGAGGGCGGGAUUCCAGUCCACGCCCCGCUCUUAGCAGCGCAGGCGGCGCUCACUUGGGGCAGCUCUGCAGCAGGAGCAGACACCUGCUGCUACUUCACCGCCAUGGACCGCAUCCUGGAGGAGCCGCCACACCAGCAGGACCCCCGAGCAGUCCCAGGAGAGGAGUCAGCAAGGUUGUCCAGGGAGGCCACACCAUCCACACCAGCUGCAUGUGCAGGGCGCACCACCCUGCCCGGGACAUCCUCCCACACCCGAGGGCUCAGCAGGUCCACUGCAACACUGCAGGGGUACCAAAACCAGCAGCUGGGGGCCCUGCGAGCCUUGCACCACACCAUGGAGCAGUGGGUGCAGAACGAAUGGGAGUUCCAGUGGAAGCUGCUUGCCCAGGGUCGUGCCAUCUGUGCCCAUCUGUAGACCCUGGUGCAGAGCGUGCUGCCUUGUGCUGCUCCAGCGCCUGCUGCCUCCCCAGUUCCCAUUCCUCCUUCCACUCCUUCUCCCCCUCCCGCCUCUCCCUCCUCAACCUCCACACCCUUCUCCUCAACCUCCACAACCCUACCUCAUCCUCCACACCCUCUUUCGCAUCCUCCCGGGGACACCGAGGCCCCUGCACCCGCCGUGCUGGGAGACAGUUGGCCGGGCGAGACCCCCACACCUAAGCUUCCUCUCCCCCUUCUUCCCCUUGCUUCCCCCUUCCAGCUCCCUCCUCCCAGU